GAGUUUGAUCCUGGCUCAGAGCGAACGUUAGCGGCACGCCUAACACAUGCAAGUCGCACGAGAAAGGGAGCAAUCCUGAGUAGAGUGGCGCACGGGUGCGUAACACGUAGAUAACCUGCCCUUUGGAGGGGGAUAACGUUCCGAAAGGAGCGCUAAUACCGCAUACAGCAAGAGCCGGUUUGCCGGUUUUUGGCAAAGGUAGGGACCCGCAAGGGCCUACCGCCAGAGGAGGGGUCUGCGGCCCAUCAGCUAGUUGGUGAGGUAAUGGCUCACCAAGGCAGAGACGGGUAGCUGGUCUGAGAGGAUGAUCAGCCACACUGGUACUGGAACACGGACCAGACUCCUACGGGAGGCAGCAGUGGGGAAUCUUGGUCAAUGGGCGCAAGCCUGAACCAGCGAUGCCGCGUGAGUGAUGAAGGCCUGGUGUAAGACUCUGUGGGCGGGAC
rnacentral:rRNA from 1 species